CCUAGGAGACGUGGCCAGUCCCGGAGGGGCAGGACCUUUGCCCUUGGGGGCUGCGGCAAGGGCGGACUCCAGGCGGGGAGAGGAGGAGCCAGAACCGAAGAGGCGGAGUGGGACAAAUCUAUAACCCAGGAAGCAAAUCAGUGGCGAAAGCCAGAGCCCAGAAAGGCGAUGAGAACUACUGCAACUUUAUACAAAACUGUGCUGCCAGUGUGCUCGGGAACAGUGGGACCUUUCAUUUCCUCCAUUCGCUUCACUGCCGCUCCAGUCCCCAGCACUGGCAGUGAGUCACCGUCAAAGCCAACCAUUAGCACGGCCAAGCAAAGCAACACUAACAAUAAACUGAAGCGCAGAGUGACUUGCCUACGGUCGCGCCACAGAGAAUACAUCAAAAGAACGUGUGUUGGUGUAGAUGAGCUGAAAUACGGGCCCAAACAAGUUGUUCUUCAUUUGGAGAGGGAGGAGGCAGAGGGUAAGGUGAACCUGUUUCAGAGAAACCACACAAAG